CAGAGUUAAUUCGUGAACGUUUGAUUCUUAAAGAUAUAUUCAAUUGUGCUGGAAAGUCAGCCAUGUGGUCUCAUCUUGAGUCUGUGAGAUAUCGGUGGAGUUUGACCAGGAAUGCAAAAGAAUGUUUUUCAGGUUAUAGGGCGGUUUACAAAACGUGAGUUGGCCGUAUUCUUCCUUAAACUCUGUUUUUUCUGGUUCUCUGUCGUGUUGCUGUAUCACAGACGCUCAGACUUACUACUUGUUUAUGUCUGCUGCUCUGAGAGAUUGUACUUGGAAUUAACAGUGAAUUUAGGUACCAUUUGAAGUGUGACCAGAGCUGUCCCAGGCAAACUGUGUCCAGUCCUAUAUGAAGUGGGGAGAAAAGAUGCCAGCAGCGCCGUGGCAGAUGCAGCCCUCCUGAGAGACCACAUUUCUGUCGCUGAAAGCAGCUGGCCCGCAAGACGCCAGUGAAAUCAAACGCGCCGGGCUUGUGUGGCGUGGGUCUCCUGUAGGUGAGGAAAUGCCGCCUGAAACCCAACAGGUAAAGGUGGAAGCCCGUCUGGGAAUAGUCUUCUUUAUUAUGUUAAUGAGACAGUGCCAGUGUCAACUAUGUCUCCACCCCUGCACCCGUGAGUUACAGGGAGCACCACAGACACAGGGAGACAGGUGCCACCUGAAGACCACCCAGGGACAGAGCUGAAGGAGACAAAGCGCUUCCGCCAGAGUGGACAGAGAGACUGCCGAGCCUCCCCCAGAGCCAGUGCCCUAAAUUCUGGCAUCUGGUCUACUGGACUGAGAAAAUACCUUUUUGUUCUUUAAAGCAGGUCCAAUGGUGGCCUUUCUGUUGCUGCAUUGCUACGGAAACCUGGAGAUCCAGAGGCCAGCAAAAGUUGGGUUAACAAAGACAGGUGUUGUAAGGGCUCUUUGACUUACAGGGGGAAAUGCACUAUCGGGGCAGGAGACGCCUACACUUGACAAAGGCCUGCCUGCGUUCAUCGGCAGAGGUGUGUUGACGUCUCUGAAGGCUGUGUGAGGCCGUAGAAACCUCUUAAAGCAAGAAUACCCAAAUGUGACGCUGUUGUUUCCGGAUGUAACCUUGUAGGUCUGCACCCUUCUGAACACGGGUUUCCCAUCUCUGACAACUUCCCUGAAGAAUUCAAACGAUGUCACAUUAAAACAGUAGUUCAGAUAUCCUCUCAGGACUCAAGUUCUUUUGAAUCAUUUGUUGGGUUUUGAGAACAAAAUGAAACCCAAAGGGCAAGCUCGAGACUGUAGGGUGGAGGGAGUAAGGUUUCCCAACAAGAUUCUGGAAGGCCAGCUCUGGCUGCCCUCGGAGAACCAGCGGGUGUGUUGUCCUGAUGGAAGAAAUCCCUGUCUUUUCUCACCAAUGCCAAUUUCCACUUUCUUACCCCUUCCUCACAUGCCCCCUGUCCUGUGUCCUUUGAGAAAAUCUCUUCAGAUAACUCUUUUGGGAUCUCAAGACACAAUGGCUAUAUAACCUUCCAAGCUGCCUUACAUUGAACAGAUCCCACGGAAGCCAGUGUUUUGACUGGACCUUUGUGAAGACGCCCUAAGGAGACUAGCGCGUUACUGAGACCACGUGUCUGCAGUCGCCCACUGACCACAGACAUGUUUAAAUAUGGUUGGUUUGGAAUCAACUGCAGACGAACGCUAGUAGCAGUGCUUUUUGGCUCACUCUGGAAAGUGGGCGCAAUAGUCAGAGAAGGUCUUUUCCAGUUCUGUACACACCCUCCCCACAUGUCCCUGCCUAAGCUCUCUGUCGCUGCACCUCUGCAGCAUCGCUGGUGUGUCCCCUGGAGCCCCUCCUGUGGCAAGCCAACACCACCCCUAGGCCUGAGCCUGCUGAAGUCCUCAGAACUAUCAUGGCCUUUUGGUAACACAUCUUGGCAUCUCUCCGAGGUCUCUCUUGACAUUCUCUCAGAGUAAGUUUCUGUCUCUGGCAUGACUUACAGUCUUCUCCUGCAUACCCUCAGCUACCAUACCACCAGACUUAAGCUUUCACUCAAUGCUUCUCACCGGUGAGAGCCGCCUAUCGGUGAGAGCCGCCUAUCGUCCCUGACUGCCGCAGCCACUCCCCAGGUUCUGGCUACAGAAAGCGCCUCUUCCUGCGGCAUUUGCAAGGCUGUGCUCCAACUGGUUCAUGAGCAAUUUUUGGAACUUGAGGAAUUUCACGUGCCCAAUUUCGGAAAAGAUACAAUUAAAUGAUAUUAACAAUAAAGGUGAUAGAACAUCACUUCUGAA